rnacentral:rRNA from 1 species
CCGAAAAAGGUGAAUAAAAUCCUUUUUAGACCACUACUUUAAUUUGAUAGAAUAAAUUUACGUUUAUUAAAAUACAAUCAUGGAAAUUUUAGUUAUAUUCCAGUUGGAAAAAUUAUAAAACUAUAAAAAUAUAAGUCUAGUUUAGGUAAAUUAUUGGAGGUAAAUAGGGUGCCAGCAACCGCGGUCAUACCUUUAUCUAGAAGUAAAUAGGCAUAAUCUUAUGAAAUAAUUAAUGAUCAUAUGCAGUAUUUAUAGUAAAAUAUAAUCUGUAAAUUUUUUAGUACAUUAUUGAAAACAAAAUAGAAAGAAAAACUAGGAUUAGAUACCCUACUAUUCCUACUAAUAUUCAUAAUUUGAGGAGUAACCACAAUUAAUGUCAAACUCAAAAAUUAUGGCGGCUUUAAUAAAAUUAUAGGGGAACUUACUAAGUAAUUGAUAACCACCAAGAAAUAUCUACUUUAUUACCAAAGUUUGUAUGCCGUCGUCAAAAAUAUUUCUUAAAAAUAUUUAAAUAAAAUCAUUUUUUUAAAAAACAGAUCAAGGUGCAACCAAUAAUAAAGAGUUAAGCGAGUUACAAUAUAAAUAUUAUUACGGAUAGCAAAGUACUUAUUUAUUGUUUGAAGAUGGACUUAUAAGUAUACAACAAAUUUUAAAUAGUACUAGAAUAAACUAUAUUAAAGUGC